rnacentral:rRNA from 1 species
CCGUGCAAUUCGGUAUAAUCUGAAUUGUAAAUAUUAUUUUUAUUAUAUUAAUUUUAUUAUUUUUAAUAAAAACAUUUAUUUUUGUUUUUGUAUAUGUUUUAGAUAUAAUAAUUUUAUUUAUAGAAAAUUUUUACUGUAGAGGUUUUAUUAUUAAUUUUUAUAAGUUGAUUUUAUUUAUUGUACCUUGUGUAUCAGGAUUUAUAUAAUUUUAUUAUUUAUUAUUUAUUUCCCGAUUUUAAAGGAUUUAAUUAAUUAUUAUUAUUAUUGUUUUAUAAAUAUUUUAAAUAUUUAAUUAGUGGUGAAAUGUUAUUCGACUUUAAUUGUAUCUGGUUUUCUAAGAAAUGAAUUUAAUUCAUAAAUUUUUAUUAUAUUUCUUUAUUUGUAGUUUAGUAUUUUAAGUAAUUUUUAAUAUUAAGGGGGAUAAGCUCUUUAAUUUAUUUUUAUAACAUUUUAUUAAUUUUAUUUUAGUUGAUUUUAUAAUAAUUAUCUUUUUAAGUUUGUUAAAAUUUUAUUUUUAAUUUAUAUUUAUUUUAUAUUUUUGUUUAAUUUUUUAUUAGAAUAUUUUAUUUAAUUAUAAUUUAUUAAUAUUAAUGAUGAAAUUAGUAAAUUUUAUUUUUAUAUUAUUUUGUUUAUUACUAAUAUUUCAAAAGGAACUAGGCAAAAUUUUAAAUUUUUAUAAGUUCUCGCAUGUUUAUCAAAAACAUCUCUUCUUGAUUAAUAAUUUGAAGUAUAACCUGCCCACUGAAAUUGUUUUGAAGGGCCGCGGUAUUUUGACCGUGCAAAGGUAGCAUAAUCAUUAGUCUUUUAAUUGGAGACUUGAAUGAAUGGUUGGACGAGGAAUAAACUGUUUCUUGUAUAUUUAUUUGAAUUUAAAUUUUAAGUUAAAAUGCUUAAAUUUAUUUAUGGGACGAGAAGACCCUAUAGAGUUUAAUAUAUUACAUAAUUUAUAUUAGUUAAUAUAUUAUUAUUAAUUUUAUAAUAUAUUUUGUUGGGGUGAUGGGAAGAUUUAAUAAACUCUUUUUAUUUGUAUAUAUUUAUAUAUAAUUUUUUGAUCCAUUUUUGUUGAUUAUAAGACUAAAUUACCUUAGGGAUAACAGCGUAAUCUUUUUUGAGAGUUCAUAUCGAUAAAAGGGUUUGCGACCUCGAUGUUGGAUUAAGAUUUAAUUUGGGUGUAGCAUUUCAAUAGUUUAGGUCUGUUCGACCUUUAAAAUCUUACAUGAUCUGAGUUCAAACCGGCGUGAGCCAGGUUGGUUUCUAUCUAUAAUAAAUUUUAUAUCUUAGUACGAGAGGACCAGAUAUUUAAAAUAAUUUUUAGUAUUUAUUGAUUAUUAUUAAUGUUGCUAUUUUGGCAGACAAGUGCAAUGGAUUUAGAAUCUAUA